rnacentral:rRNA from 1 species
UACGUAGGGUGCAAGCGUUGUCCGGAAUUAUUGGGCGUAAAGAGCUCGUAGGCGGCUUGUUGCGUCGACUGUGAAAACCCGCGGCUUAACUGCGGGCUUGCAGUUGAUACGGGCAGGCUAGAGUUCGGUAGGGGAGACUGGAAUUCCUGGUGUAGCGGUGAAAUGCGCAGAUAUCAGGAGGAACACCGGUGGCGAAGGCGGUUCUCUGGGCAUUACCUGACGCUGAGGAGCGAAAGUGUGGGGAGCGAACAGG